rnacentral:rRNA from 1 species
GACGAACGCUGGCGGCGUGCUUAACACAUGCAAGUCGAACGCUGAAGCUUGGUGCUUGCACUGGGUGGAUGAGUGGCGAACGGGUGAGUAAUACGUGAGUAACCUGCCCUUGACUCUGGGAUAAGCCUGGGAAACUGGGUCUAAUACUGGAUACGACAUGUCACCGCAUGGUGGUGUGUGGAAAGGGUUUUACUGGUUUUGGAUGGGCUCACGGCCUAUCAGCUUGUUGGUGGGGUAAUGGCUCACCAAGGCGACGACGGGUAGCCGGCCUGAGAGGGUGACCGGCCACACUGGGACUGAGACACGGCCCAGACUCCUACGGGAGGCAGCAGUGGGGAAUAUUGCACAAUGGGCGGAAGCCUGAUGCAGCAACGCCGCGUGAGGGAUGACGGCCUUCGGGUUGUAAACCUCUUUCAGCACGGAAGAAGCGAAAGUGACGGUACGUGCAGAAGAAGCGCCGGCUAACUACGUG